rnacentral:rRNA from 1 species
CGGUUAAAAAGCUCGUAGUUGGAUUUCUGCCGAGGACGACGGGUCCGCUCUUUGAGCGUGUAUCUAGUUCGGUCUUGGCAUCCUCUUGGGGAACGCUUCUGUGCUUCGUUGCAUGGGGUGGGAUUCAAGACUUUUACUUUGAGGAAAUUAGAGUGUUCACGGCAAGCUUUCGCUUUGAAUACAUUAGCAUGGAAUAAUAAUAUAGGGCGUAAGUUCUAUUUUGUUGGUUUCUAGGACAUACGCAAUGAUUAAUAGGGACAAUUGGGGGCAUUCGUAUUAACGCGUCAGAGGUGGAAUUCUUAGAUCGCGUUACGACGAACUACUGCGAAAGCAUUUGCCAAAGAUGUUUUCAUUGAUCAAGAACGAAAGUAUGGGGAUCGAAGACGAUUAGAUACCGUCGUAGUCUAUACCAUAAACUAUGCCAAUUAGAGAUUGGGCGUCGUUCGUUUUAUGACUCGCUCAGCACCUUAUGAGAAAUCAAAAUUUUUGGGUUCCGGGGGGAGUAUGGUCGCAAGGCUGAAACUUAAAGGAAUUGACGGAAGGGCACCACCAGGAGUGGAGCCUGCGGCUUAAUUUGACUCAACACGGGAAAACUUACCAGGUCCAGACAUAGUAAGGAUUGACAGAUA